AGGACGAACGCUGGCGGCGCGCUUAACACAUGCAAGUCGAGCGAGAACCAGGGCUUCGGCUCUGGGGACAGCGGCGAACGGGUGAGUAACACGUGGGUAAUCAACCCUCGACAUCGGGAUAGCCCGGGGAAACCCGGAUUAAUACCGAAUGCUCCGUCUGGCCUUCGGGCCGGCCGGAAAAGGUAGCUUCGGCCUCCGGUCGGGGACGAGCCCGCGGCGGAUUAGCUUGUUGGUGGGGUAAAGGCCCACCAAGGCGACGAUCCGUAGCUGGUCUGAGAGGACGAUCAGCCACACUGGGACUGAGACACGGCCCAGACUCCUACGGGAGGCAGCAGUGGGGAAUCUUGCGCAAUGGGCGAAAGCCUGACGCAGCGACGCCGCGUGAGGGAAGAAGGCCUUCGGGUUGUAAACCUCUUUCAGGAGGGACGAAGCCACUCGGGUUAAUAGCCCAGAGGGUGACGGUACCUCCAGAAGAAGCCCCGGCUAACUACGUGCCAGCAGCCGC
rnacentral:rRNA from 1 species